AGGACGAACGCUGGCGGCGUGCUUAACACAUGCAAGUCGAACGGAAAGGCCCGCUUGCGGGUACUCGAGUGGCGAACGGGUGAGUAACACGUGGGCAACCUGCCCCUAGCUCUGGGAUAACUCCUCGAAAGAGGCGCUAAUACCGGAUAACGACCUUUUGUGGCAUCACGAUUGGUCCAAAGUUUUUCGGCUAGGGAUGGGCCCGCGGCCUAUCAGCUUGUUGGUGGGUAAUGGCCUACCGAAGGCGACGGACGGGUA
rnacentral:rRNA from 1 species